GCCCAGCUCACACGCUGCUUCUUCCUGGAUCACUGACCUCCUUGUUUUGACCUGUCUGUCCAUCGUCCAGCAGGUGGGACGUCCCCGAUGGAAACCCCCCAACGAUGGAAGCUCCAAGGAUAGAGACCCUCAGUAAAAAGAGCUCCAGAUGGAGACCUGGGAUAGCAACUCUUCAGGGUAGAAACCCCUUCAAGGAGCCAAAUGAAACUACUUCAGGAACUUGGACUAUUUUGUCCUGAAAGACUUUCUCCCCACACAAAUCCCGCAGUGCAUGUGAAGAGCCAGUUUUCCCUCAGGAACUCUUUUCUCUUCUCCUUUCUUGCUGUGCGAACUGUGUCCUCUCUCUCUCUCCGCUGGCUGCUGGGAAGCUCGGAACCAGAUUGAGCCUCAUCCCUUAGCAACAAAUCCUUGUCCAUUCAUAUUCUGUGUUUUCAACUGUAAUGAGCGUUAGUUACCUGGUACCAUUUUUACCCCUUACUUAUUCUAUUUAAUUUUGUUUGAAUUCUUUUUUGAAAGCCUCCUGAAAUUCUUAUGGACUCCUAGGGGAUAAAACAAAUAAAUAGAAAGUGACUUGGUUGUAAAUGUUGGACUCUGAACUUGAUCUUGACACAGCUCUGUGUUUGUUUCAUCUAGAAGGGCUUCCGGCGGGAAGUACACCAAAGUUGUGUCUUGUAGGAGGGGCAGACUACAGUUAGCAGAGGCCUUGGGAGGUAAGAGCUUGCCUGGGCCUUUGCUUUCUCUGACUCUCUAGCCCUGAGUGAUUUUGUAGGAGACCUAGUCUCUCCCCAUAUUCAAAUUCAACAAGCAUUUUCUUAGCAGGGUGGACACAGAGAUGAAAAGACCCAGCCAGGCCUUGCUCUUUGGGUCCAUCAUCUACUGAGACAUAAAAACAACCUUCUAGAAUACAGUGAUUUGAAUAAAUGUUAGCCUCUGGGAUAGCUCUCCAUGACCAACAGAAUCAAGCCUGAAUGCUUUAGACUGACAUUCACCACAUGGCACCACAUGUGACAUGGCGCCACAGCUGGAUUCUACCCAGCCUAUACAGCUCCAGUUCUCAGCACCUGCAAAAGGUAGCCUAUACGAUGUAGUUUUGUGGCUCC